UAUCAAACAAAGCAGAUACUUAACAAUAUAACAACAACAGUGCAGUAGCAGACGAUUUUAGGUUAGCAGACGGCGCAUCCUAAUAAGCUGAGCACGCGCACACUUUGCUAGGAAUUGCGUAAAUUUUAGAAAUUUGUUGAGAUUUAGACUUUUUUUAGAAAAUAAAUUUCCAGUUAUCCAACCCAGAAAAUACUUGUUUGAUAUUUUGGAUUUAGUCUUUGUAAAAUAUAUGUCUUAUACAUGGUAAGUUUGAAAAUAAAAAUCUUCGUAAGGCAUCAGAAAUCUCGACCCUCGCUGACCGGAAAUCCAAGAUGGUGCAGACCACUGGAAUCAAGAAAUCGGAGCCCUUAGUACAUGUAUUUGCAAAGAUUUUAAAUGGAUGAAGAAAGAAAAAGACGUGAAGAACUUGAAAAGAUCCUUGAAGAAAAUAACAGGAAAAGUGAAGAUGCUAAAAAAAAAAUGGCAGAGGAAAGGUUAGCAAUGGUGGAGGAACAACGCAGAAUUGAUGACGAGGGCCAGAGACUACAGAAAGAACUAGAGAAAAAAAUAAAACAGGAACAACACAUAAUUCUUAAUAAAGGACAAGUUAGACUAAGAUUAGCAUUUUCUCUGAAACCCACCUGAGAUUAAGUUGAAAAAAGUAAAAAAUUGCAGCAUUAAAGUUUGUGGAUUCAAAUAACUAGGUGGAUUUAUACUUUAAAGAACUCUUUCUUCCCCCCCAACCACUUUUUUUUCAGUAGAAAUUUUAAUAAUAGGGCAUGAAACAAAUGGUUAUAUUUAACUCUUGACAUUCAGCUCCAUGAAGAUCAACGUGAUUUUACCUUAGUAUGCUGUAUCAGUUGAUAUAUUUUAUACAUAGAGCUCUUUUUCUAAAUCGUACAUAUUUAGCUACCCAAUUACUUUGGUUUAAAGUUUCAAUCAUGGUAAAAUAAAAAUAACAUUGCUGGUUUUUCAGUCUUCAAGCUACACGAUAUUUCUUCACACAUUCUCACACCCAUUUAUAUAGGCCUCCUUUUGUGUGUGUGUGUAGAAAAAUCAUUCUACAGAAAAUAUACUGAGGUUAGACUGUAACUAUGAAUUUAAAAACAUUCACUGUUUACAAUAGUUACUUCUUGUGACUAAGUUUUGCAAGUUUGACUGACAUUAUAUACUUCCACAUCUGUCCACAUUUAAUACUACUAGAUUAAAUGUUAAUGGUAUGCCUUGCACAGAGAAAAUUAAUGAGUGAUGUGGGUCUGCUGUGUUUGUUCCAGGCAUAAUUAUUCUGUAAUACAAUAUUUAUUGGUUCAAGUACUUAUUUAUCGAUAAAAUUACUUCUGUAUUUAUGAAUUUUUAUUUUGGCAGGGAAGAUUUUAUGGUAAACACAAAAGUUUGUUAUUGUUUUAUAGAUAUUUGAUUAAUCUUGUUUUAACAUAUUUCAUACCAGGUGUCCAACUUUAAGUCAUAAAGAUUUACAAACGUUUUGGAAUCAAAUGUUUAUCCUUUGCACAAGCCCUUAAUUUAAAGUAGAAAGUCCAGUCUAUAAGGCAUGGGGGAAAAUAAACAUUACUAAUCUAUAGCACACAACUCUUUGACCAGCAUCUAAGUAAACCACAAUAAGAGUUUUCUAGGAAAUGUAUGCAGAGAGUGAAUAAAUCAAAUCUGACCAAAAGAGAAACAUAUUAGAGUCAGUUACUUCACAUUAACUCUUUCCACACAGCCAGGUCAAAAUGCACAUAUCAUGACCUUUUGAAGUGUUACAUUCAAAAUUUAAUUAAACAACAUUAUUAUUAGUGUAUUUCAAUAAAUCUGGCAUGAAAACAUACUGUUUGAAAUAUUUAUAUUAUUUAAAUUUUAUCUUCUUAAUUUCAAAAUCUCGGUCUUAAUUUUCUGUGUCAUGUGACACAUCUGACCUCUAAUUUCUCCACUUCAGAAUUUUCUUAUUUUUAAGAUAGGCUGAUGGAGUUUCCAACCAAUUAGAAACACAAUGUAUGCACAAUUAUAAGCAAGAAUAUAAAAUUUGAACAUCCUGCCUUCUUGAUUUGCUGAGAUAUCAAAAAGAUUUUCCAACCCACCAGAGAAGCACCCCCUCAUCUCUUUCUGACUUUUGACAUUGUUUGUUAAUAAACUGUUCAUGGCUGAUGGAUGAGUUUAUAACAAAGAGAAAGAAAAUAUUAUUCUUUACUUAACUUUUUUAAUUUGCAUGCCAUAAACUGUUAGCAGAAAUGCUUGGUCUGUAAUGAUCAUAUUUUGCUGCUCCAAACACAAAAGGAUUUUUAUCCUAUUUAUAGCAUACUGAAAAAUGUAGAUAAAUUAUAGACCAUAAGAUAGUAGUGCAUCAAAGAAUUAAAUGUACAGAAUAAAAAGCAUUUAGUAGUAUUUUAAUUUUUUACAUUUAUGUAGAGUUGGGCAUGAUUUGUGGUGAGUGUGCCAGACUAUGGAUGUGAGGGUUCAUGGUCUGCAUUUUGGGACCACAAGUGCAUAAUAAGAGAAAUGACCAAAUCUCACUUGUUGAUUAGCCAAAGAAUUGGCAAUGGGUGCUAUUGGUUAGCUGCUUUCUAUCAGUUCAGAAUUAAGGAUAGCCCUUGUGUAGUUUUGCACAAAUAUUAAAAAUUGAUUGAAAAAUCAGCAAGUUAAAGAAGAUUAGCAUAUUGACAAUGAACAAAUCUUGUGCUCUAACUUUGCUAUAUUCUUUUUUUCAGGCUGAAUUAGAUUCUGCUAUCAAAAAGGAUAUAGGAUUGGCUAGGGUAUUAAAAAAGUAACUAUUGUAUAUUUCUCACCUAAUAUAAAAUUGUCUAAGAUGUAUAAUUUUGUUCAGUUUCAGAAGUGAAUAAAUAUACUGUAAAAUAAUAUUUUUGUAAUGACAUUACACCAUAAGUCAUUUAUUUAUUGUAGCUAAUAGUAGUGUUUUUCAGAUCCAAAUCUGUAUAGAUAGAAGUAAAACAACAUAGGCAAUAUGGCAGGAUUAAUUUCCUUAUUAAUGACAUAAAUUUUUGUUUUCUUUA